CGCAUGCCCUCCAGCGCCAGUUCCCUCUGGGUUUGUUUGAGGGAAGGUGGGGGUGGCCCCGGUCACUGCGGAAGAAAGGGGGGCCUGAAUGGCCGCAUGGAUGGGGCUUUUGAGGGUUUCUACCUGUCCCGCCUCGCCCAUUUGUGCAAAAUCCAGUCCCCACGCUCUUCAACCGGCAGAAGGCUCAGCUGGCAAACGCACGGGCUACAAAUGCAGCGGCACAUUCACAGUCACGGAAGGUGCCGGUGCUGCUGGGAUUUGGAGCAAACAUUUAUUUUCACCCACUGUCUCCUCCGUGCCCACCUCGCACCAGGGAGUCCACGUUGAAAGGAAUUGGGAUUCGGAUCCUGCCGACCAGGGAGCGAAGAAAGCACACUCCUGCCUUCCCCUCCCCUCGCCUCGCCUCGCCUCGCCUCGCCUCGCCUCGCCUCGGGGAUGCACAAAAGAUUGCCUCUCCAAGGCCUUUCAAGCACAGAGCAGCCUGCUCUUGUGGCAUCUCUUAGAUAGUUCUCCGUUGCCGCUGCUGAUAGGUUUACUUACCGGUAUUAAUAUCAUCCCGCGUGGCUCCGUAAGUAAACUGAAUAGGACACUGAAUUCUCUACCUAACCAUAGCCACCUUUCAGAAGAUUGACAACAAGUGAUUUAAUUUGGUGGAUGUGCUCCAGACCCACCUUGGUUCAUCGUGAACGUGCCUAUAUAGACAUGAUUGCGGCCUGAAAGGCGGAGGAGUCAUUCUCAACCCUGUCAGGCCCAUCAUCCCCUUUUCUAGCUACUAGUGUUUUAAAUACUCCCCUGACUAUCAUGAAAUGCAAUUCAUAAAUAAUGUUACCUACCUAUGAUUUCAAAAAAAUCAAUAUAAUGUCCUAAUUGUA